GUGUCCCCUGGAGAGCACGUUGCUCAGGCUCUGUGUUGGAACCCACCGUCUCCUAGUGGUCUCUAAUUGCAUUAGGGGGAACCAUGAGGUCAGCCGGCAUGCUCGUUCCGGUCGGCCUGGCCCCCAGCCGCCUGGGUGCGUGCGCAAGGAGCUCCCAGGCCGUGCUGCCUGACAUUUGCAAUCGUUUAAUGGGAACAAGUUCCAUCUUUGAGCUCUGCGCAGCCUUUCAUACAGCAGCCAAACUGUCCGCCCUAGACGGGACAUAAAUCCUGCUGGCGAGUCACUGGGCCAGUUCUCCUCCUGGAGCUGCUUCAUUCCCAAAGCUGGCCAGGGGCAGCUCUUCGCACCCCGGUUUGAGAAAGACCCCAGGGAACUGAUGGGGUGCAGAGGAGAGAGCACUGUACUGCGAGGCAAGGAGCAUCAUUCCAGGCUGGCCAGGCAGCAUGGGGGCAGAUGGGUGUCCUCCCUGAACACCUCUCCCUGCUUCCCUGAGGGAAAGACUGCGCCAGGGACCAGAACAGGAAAGCGAGUGGGGGUGAGGGACAGGUUGGAAGUGGAACUUUCAAAUGUCAAGCCCAUGUUCCCGAGGAAAUAGAACGUAGUUGUGAACUAGGUUCCUGGGGAUGUCCUGCUCCACCUGAAGGACCAAAAUGAACCGCCUCCCUCCUGAAGCUGUGCACGGAGGCAGACCCAGACUUUCCUCGGGAUGCCGUUGGGGACACACUGCCUAGAGGAGACUGAUCUGAUGACCUCUGGGGGCCUGCGCCUUGGGCAGGGACAGCAGGAAGCAGGCGUGGAGGAAAGCUCCGAGCACGAACCCCGACCCCGUCUAGAAGUGACUUGAGUCCUUGUGUCCAGACUUGCUCUCUCCUGGGGGAGCUAACUUUGAGAGCACCGGGCCAGCCCCUGCCUCCAGCUUUCUGCCCCGGAAACCCCCUCAUUCCACGCUAUCUGCUUAAUCCCUGUUAACAGCAGGCUGACCUCCCGCCUCUGCGGCCUCACAUUGAGCCUGCCCCAGUCUUCACAGGCCUCCUUCGAAAAAUAAAUAAAUACUCUCUCCAUUAUCCCAUUAGCAGCUUCACAGGUUUUUCUGAUAUUAGUUCCCAACUCCAGUGAAAGUGGAAACACGUGU